ACGGAGGGUGCAAGCGUUAUUCGGAUUUAUUGGGCGUAAAGGGCGCGUAGGCGGUCUUGUAAGUCAGGUGUGAAAUCCCGGGGCUCAACCCCGGAAGUGCAUUUGAUACUGCAAGACUUGAGUAUGGGAGGGGGAAGUGGAAUUCCUGGUGUAGAGGUGAAAUUCGUAGAUAUCAGGAGGAACACCAGUGGCGAAGGCGACUUCCUGGACCAAUACUGACGCUGAGGCGCGAAGGCGUGGGGAGCAAACAGGAUUAGAUACCCUGGUAGUCCACGCAGUAAACGGUGAGAACUAGGUGUAGCGGGUAUUGACCCCUGCUGUGCCGCAGUUAACGCAUUAAGUUCUCCGCCUGGGGAGUACGAUCGCAAGAUUA
rnacentral:rRNA from 1 species